rnacentral:rRNA from 1 species
GGACUACCCGGGUUUCUAAUCCUGUUCGCUCCCCUAGCUUUCGCACCUGAGCGUCAGUUACCAGCCAGGACACUGCCUUCGCCUUUGGUAUUCCUCCGGAUAUCUACGCAUUUCACCACUCCACCCGGAAUUCUAUGUCCCUCUCUGGUCCUCAAGUCCCACAGUUUUCGGAGGCCUUGCUCAGUUAAGCCGAGCACUGUCACUCCAAACUUGCGAAACCGCCUGCGUGCGCUUUACGCCCAGUAACUCCGGACAACGCUUGCCCCCUACGUAUUACCGCGGCGGCUGGCAC